UACGUAGGGCGCGAGCGUUGUCCGGAUUUAUUGGGCGUAAAGAGCUCGUAGGCGGCUUGUCGCGUCGACUGUGAAAACCCGCGGCUCAACCGCGGCCUGCAGUCGAUACGGGCAGGCUAGAGUUCGGUAGGGGAGACUGGAAUUCCUGGUGUAGCGGUGAAAUGCGCAGAUAUCAGGAGGAACACCGAUGGCGAAGGCAGGUCUCUGGGCCGAUACUGACGUGAGGAGCGAAAGCGUGGGGAGCGAACAGG
rnacentral:rRNA from 1 species